GGCCAUUUAGCACAAUGGUUAGUGCACAGGACUUAACUGUGAUUGACGAUCUGGUGGUCUUGGGUUCAAUUCCCAGAGUUGUAC